UACAGAGGGGGCAAGCGUUGUUCGGAAUUACUGGGCGUAAAGCGCACGUAGGCGGAUUUGUAAGUCAGGGGUGAAAUCCCGGGGCUCAACCCCGGAACUGCCUUUGAUACUGCGAAUCUCGAGUCCGGAAGAGGCGAGUGGAAUUCCUAGUGUAGAGGUGAAAUUCGUAGAUAUUCGCAAGAACACCAGUGGCGAAGGCGGCUCACUGGCCCGGUACUGACGCUGAGGUGCGAAAGCGUGGGGAGCAGACAGG
rnacentral:rRNA from 1 species